GUUAGAAUCAUUUGUGUAAUGGUUACUCCAGGAAAUAAUUUAUGGUAUAAAAUGGCAGGCAUUCUAGCCAUUUCUAAUGGGCUAAAGCAGUGUAAUUCCAAGCUACAGUUUGUGCCACAACCAGAGAAUAUACUGCUCC